GGGCGGUUAGCUCAGCGGUAGAGCACUGCUUUCACACGGCAGGGGUCACAGGUUCAAAUCCUGUACCGCCCACCA
rnacentral:tRNA from 11 species